rnacentral:rRNA from 1 species
UACGUCGGGUGCAAGCGUUAUCCGGAAUUAUUGGGCGUAAAGCGAUCAUAGGUGGACAAGUAGGUCUGGUGUUAAAUACCCACGGCUCAACCGGGGUGCCGCAUUGGAAACCGCUUGACUAGAGGAAGACAGAGGCAGGUGGAAUUUCCAUUGUAGGGGUUAAAUCCGUAGAUAAUGGAAGGAACACCGAAAGCGAAGGCAGCCUGCUGGGUCUUUCCUGACACUGCUUGAUCGAAAGCGUGGGGAGCGAAACGG